AUUCAAUCCAUCUCCAUUUCCAUUUACAUUCCGUUCCUCCCAUUCGGCCCCUUCCCUCCCACGUAUAUAUAUAUACACAUACACACAUCACCUUGUAAUUGCUCUGUCAUAACCCCCAAUCUCUCCGCUCUCUCUCUCCAACCUCAGAUCUCUCUCUCUCUCUCUCCCCCCCUUUCUCCCUUCAGCUUGCCGUUUCGCCGACCUCCGUAAUGGCCGAUCAGCUCACUGACGAUCAGAUCUCCGAAUUCAAGGAGGCCUUCAGCCUAUUCGACAAGGACGGCGAUGGUUGUAUCACUACCAAGGAGCUGGGCACAGUGAUGCGGUCUUUGGGACAGAACCCUACUGAAGCUGAGCUUCAGGACAUGAUCAAUGAGGUUGAUGCUGAUGGAAAUGGAACGAUUGAUUUCCCUGAGUUCCUCAACCUGAUGGCUCGGAAGAUGAAGGAUACUGACUCUGAGGAGGAGCUCAAGGAAGCUUUCCGGGUUUUUGACAAGGACCAGAACGGCUUCAUUUCUGCAGCUGAGCUUCGCCAUGUUAUGACAAAUCUUGGGGAAAAGCUCACAGAUGAGGAAGUUGAUGAAAUGAUUCGUGAGGCUGAUGUGGAUGGAGAUGGCCAGAUCAACUACGAGGAAUUCGUCAAGGUCAUGAUGGCCAAGGCUCGCCAAGUCUGUUACCCUAGUUCGUCCCGGAGAUCUCUCUCUCUCUCUCUCUUUCUCUCUCUGGCUGCUUGCUCCCUCGCUCUACACAAGCGCACACGCAUAUCCGUUGAUAGCAUAAUUGGCCUGGUCUCAUGUGCUGGACGCAGCCAUCUAAAUCCAAUUGGGGGGGGGUUGAAUUACCGGCGGCUGGCUCCUGAAAAUUGAUAUUAUAGACAAGUGGACGAGUGCUUGUUGGGCCGUGAGAAGUGGGGGGGCAUCAGAGCCGCGCAAGGAUAUUAUUACAUGGUUAUAAUGAUGUUGUAGCUGAUCCAGUUGGUCGCAAUAUCUAGCGUCCUUGUUACAUAAUAGGUUGGGCCGUCCGGGCAUUACAUGUGACCUCUUGGGAGAGCGUCAGGAGUUGGGCAGGAAGAGAGGCUUUGUCGUCAUGGGGUAGGGCUGUUGGGUCUCAUCGUAUUUAGAGUACAUGGGGUAACAGUGAUUACGACUGAAGGGAUAAGGGAAGUAGUGUUCCAUCGGUGAAACAAUCUAGUGCGGGAGAAUCUUUUGUUGGAAAACUUUUUUCUAGGAAAAUUUUUCCCCAGAUUUUUCAUUGUUCUUUUUGCGCGGAAGGGCUAUUGUUUCUUAUUAAAAAAAAAAACUGAAAAAAAUAAUGUAACUAGGAUAAUUAAGAGAGUAUGGCUUUGUUUGGGAUUGAGGUGAGACAGUUUGAUUAUAUUAAGUAGUUUGAUAAAUUAGUUAAGUUGAGUUUUAAGUAUAAUAAUAAUUAUUUAAUAAAUUACAAGAACUUAACUCAAUGCACUUUAUGCAUAAAAAAAAUAUUUAAAUUGAAUUAAAAUGUAUCAAAUGUUUUAUGUAAUAACGUUUGACAAUGAGGUUAACAUAAUGCAACUUCAAACUCAGGCAAAGGCAAAAUGUGGCUGGGGUGGACUUAAAUAGGAAAAUUGUAGACUGAUAUAUAAAAAUAUGUGAAUACAAUAAUUUGCUUUUUGAAAUUGCAAGUGAUUAGUCUCUGUGGGGGAGAAAGAAAACGACAGAUGAUGACGACGAUGUGUGUCCGCGCGCGCACACGCGCAUAGGAAGAGAGAGAUGGAUAGAUAUGCAGCAUCUGGAGGGAAGUGGGUUAGGUUUGAGCGGCUAGGAUUCUAUCUCAUUUGGGCGGGCUGGAGGAGGUAUUGGAUUCUCUCUCUCUCUCUCUCAUUUAUAUAUAUAUAUAUAUAUAAACCUCCAAUGUAUAUAAGUGUUGCUGCAGCCUUUUAAGGGUACCAUUACAUUCUUUUUUUGGGGGGGAGGGGGGGUAUCUGAUUCUAUGUUUGGUUGGGUGGGGGCUGCAUUUGGCAUUGCAUCUGCUUCCAUAGUAUGCUUCUCGUGGAAGGGUUUAGGUCUAUUAUUAAACACAACUAUAUAAUAAUGCAGAAAAUAUAAUGCCCAAUCCACCUGGAAAGGACACUUCCAAAUUGAUGCCCCCUAUGUCAAAAGAUUUUGUAUUUCCCCUCUUCCUUGUCUUUUCUCCUUUUUAUUUUUUUUAUUGGUUUAUUUUUCUUGUAUCAUACCUCACUUCACUUUAAUAACCCAUCAAAAUGUCUUGUGAAAACGAUUUAUGUUAAAGUAACAUUUGUUAAAAUAAGUAAGAUAAGAUUUUAUCAAGAUAAUUUAUCUGUAAAAUUUAAGAUAAAUUAUUUAAAAUGAGAGAAAAAAUAAAUUUAUUUUAAAAGUUUAAAAUAAAAAGUUAUAUGAUUUAUUUUUAAAAAAUUUAACAAAUAAAAUGAAAAAUAUUUUUGUCUUGAAUAUUUUUUAUAUUUUAUUUUUUUAUUUAUAUCUUAGUUAACAAAUGCUACUUAAAUAAAAAAAAUUCAUAAUAAAAUAGACUCUUUUUUUUAAUUAUUAAAAAGUUUGUCGUGGUUUCGUGAAAGCACCAAAUAAAAGAAACCCACCAAAUAACUGGAUAAUGUAUGAAAUAAUUGCAAAGGCGAAAGUCCCUAGAGCAUGAGAUGAAAGAGCAACGAAGUGCCAUCUGUGGAGUGUCCCUACUUGCCGUCUUCUUUACCGAAGAAGAGAAAAGAUGGGAAAGGAGAAGUCGCGAAGGACUGGCAAGAGAGGAAAGCAUCGAAGAGUUCCCAGUAAACAUUGUUCCAUCCUUUAACUAAUUUGUUUUUUUAUAUAUAUGUCUCCUUGUGGUGUGAUGAUGGGUCUCCUGUUUGGGCCUUACCUCAAAACCAAUUAUAUUACAUGGUACUGUGUGAUCACAUUAUGUAUCAAACUCAGUCCAACAAUGUGCCCAAUUAGUGUUAUUGGGCCAUAAAUGGGUAUGUAUUAUUGUUGUUUCUUGGC